GACAGCAUAGCAUUUUGGUUUGAAAAUAUUUUUGAAUCAAUUUAUCAGCAUUUGAAAAUCUUCUGAGCUUUCCUUUGAAAGGAUUAUCCAUAGAAGUGAUCAACCUAUAGGGUAUGCCACAGCAUCAAUAUUUCAAAUAGUAGAAAAAUAGCAGCACCACAAACAGCAAAAAAAUAACAUAAAUUCAGUAUAUCCAAUGGGGCUCGGCAAUAUCAGUGGCUAUGUAUU
rnacentral:lncRNA from 1 species